AGUGAACGCUGGCGGUAGGCCUAACACAUGCAAGUCGAACGGCAGCACAGUAAGAGCUUGCUCUUACGGGUGGCGAGUGGCGGACGGGUGAGGAAUACAUCGGAAUCUACUUUUUCGUGGGGGAUAACGUAGGGAAACUUACGCUAAUACCGCAUACGACCUACGGGUGAAAGCAGGGGACCUUCGGACCUUGCGCGAUUGAAUGAGCCGAUGUCGGAUUGGCUCGUUGGCGGGGUAAAGGCCCACCAAGGCGACGAUCCGUAGCUGGUCUGAGAGGAUGAUCAGCCACACUGGAACUGAGACACGGUCCAGACUCCUGCGGGAGGCAGCAGUGGGGAAUAUUGGACAAUGGGCGCAAGCCUGAUCCAGCCAUACCGCGUGGGUGAAGAAGGCCUUCGGGUUGUAAAGCCCUUUUGUUGGGAAAGAAAAGCAGCAGGUUAAUACCCCGCUGUUCUGACGGUACCCAAAGAAUAAGCACCGGCUAACUUCGUG
rnacentral:rRNA from 1 species